rnacentral:rRNA from 1 species
GACCUUGGAUCCGGUAGGUAUACUCGCUCAAUUUAAGCAUAUA